GGGUUGUUAGCUCAGUUGGUAGAGCAGUUGACUUUUAAUCAAUUGGUCGCAGGUUCGAAUCCNGNACNACCCACCA
rnacentral:tRNA from 1 species